GAUCUGUUGGGUGUUUUGAACAGAGCAUAGUACAACCCCGCAGUCGAAGUACAUUCAGAGUUAUUAUAUAUAGACGGGAAUGUUUCCUGCAUUGCAGUUCAAUAAAUUCGUCUGGAUUUUUCUGGAUUUUUCGGGCUUGCUGACUGGAGUACUGUAAGCAGACACUACGUGUCACACAAGGUGUGCUUUGGAUUAUUGUACUGCUUGAGGAUCCAAUCAUGACCUAGUUUAAGCUCCCUGGCUAAGGCUGUCAGGUUCUGAUUUAAUAUCUGCUGAUACUCAAUGAAGUCCAUGAUACCGUGUAUCCAAACAAGGUGUCCAGGGCCUAAAUAUGAGGAUAAACAGCCCAUAAUAUCACAAAUCCACCACCAUCAUAGAUCCGCUUCCAUGCUUCUGAAGCCAGUGGCAGAUCCCACCUGAGGCUUCCCUAUUAACAGCUGGAAAAGGUAAACCUUCUUCACCAAAUUGAUUAGACCAAAGAAAGUGAUAACAGGCAGAAGAGAUGUUGGCAGACACAAGCUACAAAGAUACCCUAAAUGCGUUUGAAUAAAGAGCAACGAAUUGAAAUCGUACUGAUGGCCGGGUCAGGAAGCAGUCGCAUGGUGUAUCAGGAAAAGAUACGAAACAUAAAUCAUCUUAAGGAAUGUAUCACCAACGCAAUUACAAGUAUAACUCCAGCUGUGCUAAUACGUGUUCAUCAGCAGUGGCGGACACGUACUGAAAUGUGUUUUCAAAACAAUGGCAGUCAUGUAGAGCAUAUUAUAUAAAUAAAAAUGUUUUGUAUGGAAACGUAUAUGACUUACCCUGUAGAAUAGAAUAGAAUCUUUAUUGUCACUAUACACACAGGUACAGUGACAUUUUGUAUGGCAUCUCUCCAAUACAAGUAGUAGCAACAGUAAAAAAAUAGUAGCAGUAUAAAAUUUACAUUCUUAAAAAUUAAGAAACAAGAAAUCUACAGUCAGCAAAAGUAAUGCAUAUGUGCAUUUGUAAAUAUUAAAUACUAUAUUUGAGUAAAAGCUGCAUAGUUCGCAUGUGAAGCAUGGUGUGUGUGUGCAUUUUUCUUAAGGAUUUUAUAGUAGGCUUCCUACAUGAGGCUUCUUGUCUGAGUCAACACCUUUUAACUUAAAUAAAUGUUUUUUGUAGGUUAAUAAAUAAAUUAAUCUAUGGUUAAAGCAAGAAAAGCAGAACCCUUACAGUGCUUCACUUACAAUUAAGAUCUAAACGCAUACAUUUAUUUGACAUAAAACUUAACUUUGCUUUUUUUUUCAUCCAAAGCGACUUACACAAUGAGCUGAACACGAUGAGCAAUCGAGGGUUAAGGGACUUGCUCAGGGACCCAACAGUGUCAACUUGGUGAUGACAACCUUCUGUUUACUAGUCCAGUACCUUACCCACAAAACAAUUAAAGCUUUCUAAGAAUAUCUUGUGAAUUCAACCCUUUAUAUCAAUUAAAAUAGUCUUCAUUAAAAGUGUUUUAAAUACAA